GCCCGCUUGAUGGAAUGGUAGACAUACGGGACUUAAAAUCCCGAGGCCGCGAGGCCGUGCUGGUUCAAGUCCAGCAGCGGGCACCA
rnacentral:tRNA from 1 species